rnacentral:rRNA from 1 species
GACGAACGCUGGCGGCGUGCUUAACACAUGCAAGUCGAACGGAAAGGCCCUGCUUUUGUGGGGUGCUCGAGUGGCGAACGGGUGAGUAACACGUGAGUAACCUGCCCUUGACUUUGGGAUAACUUCAGGAAACUGGGGCUAAUACCGGAUAGGAUCUCCUGCUGCAUGGUGGGGGUUGGAAAGUUUCGGCGGUUGGGGAUGGACUGGCGGCUUGUCAGCUUGUUGGUGGGGUAGUGGCUUACCAAGGCUUUGACGGGUAGCCGGCCUGAGAGGGUGACCGGCCACAUCGGGACUGAGAUACGGCCCAGCCUCCUACGGGAGGCAGCAGUGGGGAAUAUUGUACAAUGGGCGGAAGCCUGAUGCAGCAACGCCGCGUGCGGGAUGACGGCAUUCGGGUUGUAAACCGAUUUCGCCUGUGCAGAAGCGUGAGUGACGGUAAUGGGUAAAGAAGCACCGGCUAACUACGUG